rnacentral:ncRNA from 2 species
UUCUUAUCAAGAGAAGCGGAGGGACUGGCCCGAUGAUGCUUCAGCAACCAACAUUUUUGUAAGGUGCUAAAUCCAGCGGCCCGAUCCGGUAGAUAAGAA